rnacentral:lncRNA from 1 species
CGUUAGGUGGGUGAUGGAGACUUUUGUUUCUAAUAAUUUUACCUUUCUUAUUUUACUUUUUUGAGUUUGCCAGAUGAAGGCAAUAGUCAUCAGGGUUAGUUUCAAAAAGAAAAAAUAAAAAAAUAAUCAGGGGAUCUCCUAAUAUUUAAAUAUGUAUAAGAUAACUAUCAACUGAUAUAGUGGCCGCUGGAGACUUUGUUUCUCGUAAUUUUUAUUUUCGUAUUUUACUCUUGAGUUUGCCAAAUGAAGGCAAUAGUCAUCAGGGAUCUUCUAGUAUUUAAAUAUGUAUUCAUAACAAUUAACGGAGAAAUUUCAAAAUCUAUUUUUCCAUUACAAAUCGUAAAACUAAGUUUUUCUGUAAACCGAAAUUGUCUGUUUAAAUCGAUAAAUCAAGUUUUUCCGUUAAAACCACAAAACAAAAUUUUCAGCUAAAACCAUAAAAUUAAUUUUUUAGCAAAAAUCAUAAAAUUAUAUUUUCUUUGCUAAAAUCACAAAACCCGUCAAAAUCACAAAUUUUGUUUUCUCAUUAAAACUACAAAAAUAAGG